UAUGAUAACGUUCUCUAUUGUUUUAUUUCAGAGAGCUUGUAAAAACAAUGACACACCGGGUGCUUAUCAAUUUUGGGGAUCUCGAACACCGAAUUGAUAUUUAACUAAAAGUAAACUUGGCGAAAAUGUCCCUGAGGAAUUCAAACUGGCAGCAAAAAUUGCAGGGUAUUGAAUGCCCAAAAGCGAAGCCAAAAGUUCACUCACAACAACAGUUUAACAAUUUAUUGAAUAUUGAGUGAACAACAACGGCCAGAUAUCAAUAGGUUUGAAUAUGAGAACAGGAUACGAUGAAGAAAAAUUAAAAUGUCAACAAAUUGAGUGUCAGUUUUAAUAAAUCAGCGUAUAAAAUCGUUGAAUUCACCUGUGAACCAACACACCGGUUUGCUAAGCACAUUAUGUCAAAUCGAAGCGCUUAGAUUAGGAUCCUGGUUUCACAUUAGUACACACUUUAUACUACCCAGUUCAUACGAACGACGCUCAGCGCAUUCUUCAUGAAUGAAGAUUUCAGCUCUGAAAAUCAAAUUGAUGACCAAUUAUUUCAUAUUUUUAUAUGAAAAGGCAUGAAUUCAAUGCUUCAUUAACUUUCGGAUUAUAUUAUUUAUUAAGAAAACUUACUGAUAAUUUUUGACUUUCUUU